rnacentral:rRNA from 1 species
GACGAACGCUGGCGGCGUGCUUAACACAUGCAAGUCGAACGAAGUGGCGAACGGGUGAGUAACGCGUAAUCAACCUGCCCUUCAGAGGGGGACAACAGUUGGAAACGACUGCUAAUACCGCAUACUGAAGGAUGGGCUUGCGUCUGAUUAGCUAGUUGGAGGGGUAACGGCCCACCAAGGCGAUGAUCAGUAACCGGUCGGAGAGGAUGAACGGCCAGAUGGGGAGUGAGACAAGGCCCAGACUCGUACGGGAGGCAGCAGUGGGGAAUAUACAGCAAUGGACGAAAGUCUGACGGAGCAACGCCGCGUGAGUGAGGACGGCCUUCGGGUUGUAAAGCUCUGUUAAUCGGGACGCGGUACCGGAAUAGAAAGCCACGGCUAACUACGUGCCAGCAGCCGCGGUAAUAC